AUUGAACGCUGGCGGCAGGCCUAACACAUGCAAGUCGAGCGGUAACAUUUCUAGCUUGCUAGAAGAUGACGAGCGGCGGACGGGUGAGUAACGCGUAGAAAUCUACCUAGUAGUGGGGGAUAGCCCAGAGAAAUUUGGAUUAAUACCGCAUACGCCCUACGGGGAAAGCGGGGGAUCUUCGGACCUCGUGCUAUUAGAUGAGUCUGCGUCGGAUUAGCUUGUUGGUGAGGUAAUGGCUCACCAAGGCGACGAUCCGUAGCUGGUCUGAGAGGAUGACCAGCCACACUGGAACUGAGACACGGUCCAGACUCCUACGGGAGGCAGCAGUGGGGAAUAUCGCACAAUGGGCGCAAGCCUGAUGCAGCCAUGCCGCGUGUGUGAUGAAGGUCUUAGGAUCGUAAAGCACUUUCGCCAGGGAUGAUAAUGACAGUACCCGGUAAAGAAACCCCGGCUAACUCCGUG
rnacentral:rRNA from 1 species